ACCUAUAUUCUGCACGGGCUUCUGGGCAGGCAGCACUAACACUCAGGAGAAGGUCUGCCUCUGUCUGCGCCUUCCUGGUUCAAUGCAGGCAGAUGAGUGUCACAGAUGUAACUGAGGCACUGAAUAAUCAACAUAUCGGAGCCAAUUCCCAGGACGGCAAGAGGGGGAACCGGCAGAGAUGACUGACCCUGGAGGACAAGAGCAUUCUUCUGACAAGUUUUAGCAUGGACUAUCCUCAGGAAAAUGAGAUCCAGGAAGAGUGACGCCCUCCUCGAACUGAAAGAUACUCAGGUUGAUGGAGUCAGGGACGAAGUGGCUUAUCAACAACACAGGAUGUCUGCAGGGAACAGAACUUAUUCAGACAUGGCCCAGAUUGUCUGCCCGUGGGGACUGAGGGACCUCUGAGGGUUACAUCAGGAAGGAAGGAGAGGCUGUUUCUACAGGUGCCACAGAAAAAUCGAUGCUGAGCCUCGGAUUAUUGGAUCCCAUAGAACCGUGGAGACUUGGCAGUGAAAUUCUUCCAAAGCAUUCCAUCUGCGCAGGCAGGCAGAGGUUUUCCUGGUUUGGGAAGUAUAAAUCCCGUGGGAAGUCAACUGGAGGACAUUUUACGCGUCACUCAUCCUAUUAUGAGCCUGCUGCUCCUCCGUCUCUUGACAAGGCCACCAACUAGAAGGGCACAGAAUUGUUCAUAAAACAGCUGAAUGUGAAUGUCUUUGGAUUCCCAUUUAAUGAGCUGUCUGAGAUGCCAACACCACAGAGCACAAUAUCUUUGAGUUGGAAACAUGUCAUUUGCUUGCGUCUCGUCAUCCUUUGGGGUUUUUCUAGACUCCCUGCCUCUUCUGUUUCUCGUCGAUGCUUCCAUUGUAUUCCAGUUGGCAGCUAAAGGACAGGAGCAGCAAUAAGGCUUCCUGGCUACAUUUUCAUGGUGCCACCAACUGCGAGUUAAGCUGACAAACAUUUUGAGAGCUCGGCCCAUUUCAUUCCCAGCAGGAUGGCAGGAGUUAACUAAAACAGAAUAAACUAAAAAUUGUGCCUUCAUUGCACAUUUGCACUGAUUAUCAGCACUGAAAAUGGCUAAGUUCUGCUUAUCAAGGUUAUGCUUCACAUCACCCACCAGGGAGGAUCAUCUCUCAUGAAAACUUUCAAAUUUGAUUUUGAAAAUUUAUUCAGAAAAAUUUAAGCCACGCUCUUUCCCAACACAGGAAAUAAUAUGCUCCAGAGAAUCCUCUAAUUCACCGAAAAUGGACUUGGAUAACAUUUGGGUUCUCAUACUACCACAGUCCUCUUGAGAAGGACAGCCAGGCUUGGGUGGCAGUGGUGAGGAAGGUUCCUUUCUGUCAAGGGAGCUGAUGCCUUAAAGAAGCUAUCUCCAGAUAAAGGGAGAUCUAAGGAAGGAAGCCAACGAAAGACACCAUGUACCAGAAAGCCAAGCAGGAUUUUGACAUUUAUAACCAUAAUCUCUAUAAACAAGAUGAAUUAUGGCUGGGGAUUCAGUUAGUAAAUCAACGAAAAUAAAUCCUGGAGGCUAAUAAUGAAGGGGCCAGGGAAGGAGGCCAAUGCUACAGGGUUAUCUCCUAACCUCAGAUGUUGGAUAAGUCCAUGGAAACAGCAGCGCUUCUGGAUGGCUUCAGAAAGGCUGGAGUGAUUGUUUGGACGAGAAAAACCCGCCUAUUCAUUCAAAGGUACAUGAAUGUUGUCGACACUGUCCCAUCUAAAGGUUCAUCCUUAGAAUUCUGCCUUAGACAAAGGAAGUGCUUGGAGCCCCACCACACCUAAAACCAUGCUUUGAAGGAUCUGCCAAGCUCACUUUUAAUCAUGAGAAAGAAAUUACCCACAUGGAGACAGCAGAAAAUGAGAAAGUAGAGAUCGUGCUGCGAAUAAUUCCAGCGAGUGCCAAGGGGCUAGUUGAGGAAUGGCUUCAUGAGAUGUUAGUCUAUCUAGAACAACAGAUUUGGAUCUAAGCUGGACCUUUGAGAAAGAAAAGACUUCGAGGAAAAACACCUUUCCAUAUGUUUUAUUACCUUUCACCUGAAUUGUUUAAUGCACACUAUCCAACUAUAUUCAUCUUUCUUGCUUCAUGUGUAUUUCUUCUUUUGCUUGAACUGCUUUAGAAUUGACUUUUGAGCUACACAGUCAUUCUGGAUUUUUAAAAAGAGAAUUCUAAUAAAAACUUAUAUAUGUUGUUAA
rnacentral:lncRNA from 1 species